UUUCACUGAUACAUAGUCUUGUGUCAUAUUUGCCCAAGAAAAAUAAGACUGUCAUCCUGAUGAGCACUCGACACAAAUACGCCGCUGUCAGCAAAGCAGAGCACAGGAAACCCCAGAUCAUCCUGGACUACAACAGAAACAAAGGAGGCGUUGACUGCCUUGAUAAGCUUACUGGUACAUACACCUGCAAGUGAAUGACAGCUCGUUGGCCUGUGGCAGUGUUCCACAACAUCCUUGAUGUGUCUGCAUGUAAUGCAUAUGUGGUUUGGACAGCGAUUGACCCAGCCUGGAAUCAGGGGAAAUGUUUCAAGAGGAAACUCUUCCUGGCAGAGCUUGGGAAAGAUUUAGUGACUCCUCUAAUUCAACGGCUCCAGCACCUUCCCCGCACACCAGCCUCUGGCAGUCUGGUGAGGAGUCUGCAAGCCCCAGCCACUGCCCUGGCCGCUCUCCCCCCAAACCAGGGGCAGAAACGGAAGAGAUGCGAGCUCUGUGCCCCUAGAGACAAGGAGACAAGUCUUACAUGUUUCAAAUGUGAUGCAUACGUUUUGCAAGGCACACUGCGACCUGAUUGCAAAAUGCCACUCCUGUGUUUGAACACACACACACACACACACACACACACACACACACACACACACACACACACACACACACACACACACACACACACACACACACACACACACACACACACACACACACACACAAACACACACACGAUGUGUUCAAGUUGAUGUUCUGUGAAUUUGGUCUCUGUUUAGAUUUUUUUUUAACAAUAAUUCCUAUUGUAACUCCUAUUCACUGCUAGCCUGGCGAUGUCAUACUCAUAAUUCUAGUCAGAAUAUGAGUCUGAGACCGAACCAUUGGGCUGUGAUUAUAGGGCGGAACCAGGAAGGAAAAUGCCUCUUCGCUCAAUUGGAUAGACCUAAAACCAAUCAGAGCAACGUAGUAUGUGACGUAUGUUGUGCGAAGCACAGCUAUUCUCAAACUAACUCAAGUGAGCGCACGUUCGAAGAAGUAGAAAAAGAAGAUGGACAUAAACGAUUUAUGCCUGUUUUGUAAAAAGAAUUUAAGGAUACACGGACAAAUUGGCAACACGGUCAGCAUUUUUGGGAAAAAAA